CCCCAAUGCCCUGGACACCCAUCCUUGGUGCCCUAUAUCACAUCCGCUUCCAAAUUCGGGCAAGACUCUGUCCCCACCAUGUUUCACAAUUGCCCCCAUGUCCCUAAAGGUCCCCAACCUGCACCCAUCCUGUCCCCACCCUGCUCCCACCGAGGGCCACCUACACAUGAGGAUGAGACCUGACCUCGCUUCCUGUCCCUUCAUCCGAAGAGCCGCCAGCCAGGGGACAGGUGGCCCCAGCAGCGAGUGACAGCCAGUGCCCAUGGCCGGGGACACCGGGAUGGCCGGGAAGGUGGCGCUGCUCCUGUGGGGUGCUGCUGUCCCUGCAGUGCCACCCCCACACAGCCCUGUCUGUCCCUUCUCCCUUCCAGCCCAGACCCUCGGUCUCGCUGGUGAGUCCUCGGGGGAUGUCAUGUCCCUGCCCUGCUGUCCCCAGCCCCGUGGUGGCCCUGGCAGGCUGUCAGGUGCCCAGAGCACCCAGAUCCUGGUGGAGCCCCCCUGGACGCCGGCAGUGCUGUGGGACCGGGUGACACUGACCUGCCAGGGCUCCGGGACCGCUGGUGCCACCACCUGGUACAAGGACGGGCGGCGCUGGGGGCAGGAGGGACACGACAGCUUCACUGUCCGAGAGUGGCACCUACACGUGUUACAGACCCGGCAGUGGACUAAGACUAUCCGUGAUGGUCUCAGAUGGUAAGGAGGAAUCUGAAAUGCUCAGGGAGGCUCCCUGAUAGGUCUGGUUGGGCUCCACUCCGUGGGUGGUCUCACAACCCUCAUAUGGCAAGAGCCUCUCCCCUGCACACAGGGACAUCCCAGUGCAUCCCAGUGUGGUGGGACCACCACAGGGACAGCUGUGCCAUAGGGCUGCUCCUGGUGUCCCUGGGACCCUCCCGUGCAGUGGACACUCCACCCAGAUGUCCCCGGUGCCGUGGGCACACACUUAGGACCUGUCUUGGGCUCCUCAGUGUGACGGGACCCUCCUGUCCCACAGAGCCGCUGGUGCUGCAGGUGCCAGCACGGGCGCUGCUGGAGGGGGACGGGGGGGGGGGCAGGGUGCGAGUUUACAAGGA
rnacentral:lncRNA from 12 species